UAGGUUAGAAAAAGAUUUCAUUGUUGCUAUACCAAAAUCCUUUAACUUUCUAUGUUUGAUUCUGCUCUUGUUACCUUGCUAGAUAGUGUUAGAUCACAAGU